GUUUUGAAAUAAAAGAUGGCAGUUAUAACUUUUAACUUAUGCCAAAUGCCAUUAUCAUUUUUAAUAAUUUAGCCAGAUAUGUGUAGUAUCAGAAAGCUUAGUCAUUAAAACCAAAUAAAGACACUUUCUAAAUUGAAUAAAAGGAAAGAAUGACAUGCUUAAUUUCAAGUACCAAAGAGACAGAAUAGUCAGUGAUAUGGUUUGGCUGUGUCCCCACCCAAAUCUCAUCUUGAAUUGUAGCUCCCAUAAUCCCCGUGGGUUGUGGGAGGGAGCCAGCGGGAAGUAACUGAAUCAUGGGGGCGGGUUUUCCUAUGCUAUUCUCGAGGCAGUGAAUAAGUCUCACGAGAUCUGAUGGUUUUAUAUAGGGCAGUUCCCCUGCAUGCACUCUCUUGCCUGCCUCCAUGUAAGACGUGCCUUUGCUCCUCCUUUGCCUUCUGUCAUGAGGAACUGUGAGUCCAUGAAACCUCUUUUUCUUUAUAAUUACCCAGUCUCAGGUAUUUCUUCAUAGCUGUAUGAAAAUGGACUAAUACAGUUGGUUUCUCUACGUGCACUCUCACAUGGGCAAACUGUUUUAAAAAAAAAAUAAUAAUCACCUACUUUAUAAGUAGCGGUCAAAGGGUAAGUCGAAAUUUCAGGUUAAGUAUGACCUGCUUCUUUGAUUAGGAAGAAUGAGGUACAUGUACUGCAUAGUGGGGAGGAAAAAGGCUGAGACUGAAAAUCUAGAGAAAUCUCCACUUUUCAUAGCAAAAAAGAAAAAAAUAUUCAAUAAACAGUGGCUUCACUUCUGUCUUCAGAAGAAAAACAAAUGCCUGCUUCAAUUUUCUUUAUCCCCACUUUUUAAUUUUUCUGAUUUUACUGUAACAGGUAAGCCUUUUUAUAGCAGUGGAGCUAGCCCGAAUGAAGAGUUUAUUAUAAAAAAUAGCCUCUUACAUUAAGCAGCUAAUUAUCAGGAGACAUACAUUUUCAAAUUGAUAAAGCAUGUCUUACUACUUAGAAUUUAUGUAAGUAAAUUCUGCUUCAAAACAGAAAUUCACAUUCUGAAAUAUACUACUCUUUUGAGAAUAGAGGAAGAAUUUUACAUUUUAAUGUUUUUAUUUUUAUUUUGCCCAGGAAGAAUAUGCUGUGAAUAUUUGGUGCGGGUCUUUCAGUUAUCUUUUCUCCUUCAUGUAAUAGGGUCAGAGAGCUGCCAAAAUGCAGUGGAGCCUCUACUAAGAGAAUCAGAGACACAAUCCCAAC
rnacentral:lncRNA from 10 species